GAUGAACGCUGACCGAAUGCUUAACACAUGCAAGUCCACUUGAACUUCGGUUUGGGUGGCGGACGGGUGAGUAACGCGUAAAGAACUUGCCUCACAGCUAGGGACAACAUUUGGAAACGAAUGCUAAUACCUGAUAUUAUGAUUAUAUGGCAUCGUAUAAUUAUGAAAGCUAUAUGCGCUGUGAGAGAGCUUUGCGUCCCAUUAGCUAGUUGGAGAGGUAACAGCUCACCAAGGCGAUGAUGGGUAGCCGGCCUGAGAGGGUGAUCGGCCACAAGGGGACUGAGACACGGCCCUUACUCCUACGGGAGGCAGCAGUGGGGAAUAUUGGACAAUGGACCGAGAGUCUGAUCCAGCAAUUCUGUGUGCACGAUGAAGUUUUUCGGAAUGUAAAGUGCUUUCAGUUGGGAAGAAAAAAAUGACGGUACCAACAGAAGAAGUGACGGCUAAAUACGUG
rnacentral:rRNA from 1 species